CACGUAGGGCGCGAGCGUUGUCCGGAAUUAUUGGGCGUAAAGAGCUCGUAGGCGGCCUGUUGCGUCCGCUGUGAAAGCCCGGGGCUUAACCCCGGGUCGGCAGUGGAUACGGGCAGGCUAGAGGUAGGUAGGGGAGAAUGGAAUUCCCGGUGUAGCGGUGAAAUGCGCAGAUAUCGGGAGGAACACCAGUGGCGAAGGCGGCUCACUGGCCCGUAACUGACGCUGAGGCACGAAAGCGUGGGGAGCAAACAGG
rnacentral:rRNA from 1 species